GACGAACGCUGGCGGCGUGCCUAAUACAUGCAAGUCGAACGCAGUGGGGACGGGUGAGUAACACGUGGGUAACCUCCCAUCAGAGGGGAUAACACUUGGCAACAGGUGCUAAAACCGAUACUGAUGGAUGGACCCGCGGUGCAUUAGCUAGUUGGUGAGGUAACGGCUCACCAAGGCCACGAUGCAUAGCGGAUCUGAGAGGGUGAUCGGCCACACUGGGACUGAGACACGGCCCAGACUCCUACGGGAGGCAGCAGUAGGGAAUAUUGGGCAAUGGACGAAAGCCUGACCGAGCAAUGCCGCGUGAGUGAAGAAGGUUUUCGGAUCGUAAAACUCUUUCGUUAGGGAAGCGUUAUCUAACCAGAAAGCCACGGCUAACUACGUGCCAGCAGCCGCGGUAAUUC
rnacentral:rRNA from 1 species